rnacentral:rRNA from 1 species
AUUGAACGCUGGCGGCAGGCCUCACACAUGCAAGUCGAACGAGUGGCGGACGGGUGAGUAAUGUCUGGGAAACUGCCCGGUGGCGGGGGAUAACUACUGGAAACGGUAGCUAAUACCGCAUACCAUCGGAUGUGCCCAGAUGGGAUUAGCUAGUAGGUGGGGUAAAGGCUCACCUAGGCGACGAUCCCUAGCUGGUCUGAGAGGAUGACCAGCCACACGGGAACUGAGACACGGUCCAGACUCCUACGGGAGGCAGCAGUGGGGAAUUUUGCACAAUGGGCGCAAGCCUGAUGCAGCCAUGCCGCGUGUAUGAAGAAGGCCUUCGGGUUGUAAAGUACUUUCGGCGGGGAGGCGGUACCCGCAGAAGAAGCACCGGCUAACUCCGUGCCAGCAGCCGCGGUAAUAC